UGGAACCCAGCAGUGCUGUGGGAUCUCAGGAAGCAGAGCUCUGGGCAUCUCCACCAUGGACUGGAUUCCUCUCCUGCUCCCCGUCCUCACUCUCUGCACAGGCUCCAUGGCCUCCAGUGUGUUGACUCAGCCUCAUUCGGUGUCAGUGUCCCUGGGACAGACAGCUACCAUCACCUGCUCUGGAGAGAUACUGUCAGAAAGAUAUGCAUAUUGGUACCAGCAGAAGCCAGGCCAACCCCCUGUGCAGGUCAUUUAUAAGGACACUGAGCGUCCCUCUGGGAUCCCAGACCGAUUCUCUGGCUCCAGUUCAGGGACCACACACACCCUAACCAUCAACGGGGCCCAAGCCGAGGAUGAGGCUGACUAUUACUGUCAGUCAUCAGAUAGCAGUGGUGAAGCUCACAGUGACACAGGCAGAUGGGGAAGUGAGACAAAAUCCCCUUCCCUGCCUGUGUCUCAACCUCCUCCAACCCCAGGAGGACUAUGCACAGAGCAGGGGGCAGGUUUAGUCUAG